GGAUAAUCUACCCUUAAGUNUGGGAUAACCUUGGGAAACUGAGGCUAAUACCGGAUUGGAAAAUAAUUCUGGAACGAUUAUUAUCCGAAAGGCAACGCUUAAGGAUGAGUCGGCGGCGGAUUAGGCUGUUGGCGAGGUAAUGGCUCACCAAACCGAAGAUCCGUAGGGGCUCUGAGAGGAGUAGCCCCGAGAAGGGCACUGAGAUACUGGCCCUAGCCCUACGGGGUGCAGCAGGCGCGAAACCUUUGCAAUGCACGAAAGUGUGACAAGGGAACCCAGAGUGCUAUACUUAGUAUGGCUUUUGCCAAGAGCAAAUAUCUUGGAGAAUAAGUGGUGGGCAAGACUGGUGCCAACCGCCGCGGUAACACCAGCUCCACAAGUGGGGAUCACAUUUAUUUGGCCUAAAGCGUCCGUAGCCGGUUUUGUAAAUCUUUUGUGAAAUUGUUAGGCUCAACCUAACAGCGUGCAGGGGACACUGCAGAACUAGGGACCGGGAAGGGCAAGGGGUAUGUUGAGGGGAGCGGUAAAAUGCAAUAAUCCUCGAUAGACCACCUGUGGCGUAGGCGCCUUGCUAGAACGGGUCCGACGGUGAGGGACGAAAGCCAGGGGAGCAAACCGGAUUAGAUACCCGGGUAGUCCCAGCCGUAAACGAUGCUCGCUAGGUGUCAGGCAUGGCGCGACCGUGUCUGGUGCCGCAGGGAAGCCGUGAAGCGAGCCACCCGGGAAGUACGGCCGCAAGGCUGAAACUUAA
rnacentral:rRNA from 1 species